UUUACUGUCUUUCGAUCGACAUUUCUCUGCACACUACUGAGUUAUCUGAGUCGUAUCUUCAGACUUUAGUUUAACUUCAUUAGUCUUUAGCUUUUCUAUCUUAUUUCCCAUACUAUCCACUUUCAUUGAAAGCGUAGUUAGGGUUUUGAGUAUCUUUUCUAGAGUAUCGUCUUCUGUAAUAUCAAUUUGGGUAGCUUUUUCCUGAUAUGUAAUCUGCAGUAACAUUCAUGUUAGUCUUGAUUACUUCAAUUGUAAAUGUAAAA
rnacentral:lncRNA from 1 species